rnacentral:rRNA from 1 species
UACGGAGGAUCCGAGCGUUAUCCGGAUUUAUUGGGUUUAAAGGGAGCGUAGGUGGAUUGUUAAGUCAGUUGUGAAAGUUUGCGGCUCAACCGUAAAAUUGCAGUUGAAACUGGCAGUCUUGAGUACAGUAGAGGUGGGCGGAAUUCGUGGUGUAGCGGUGAAAUGCUUAGAUAUCACGAAGAACUCCGAUUGCGAAGGCAGCUCACUGGACUGCAACUGACACUGAGGCUCGAAAGGGUGGGUAUCAAACAGG